GUAUGUGUAAUUUAAAAAAAAUAUCAAGCUGUGACCUUGACAUUAGGAUGUACAUCCUCACACACCA
rnacentral:tRNA from 1 species